UAUCACAUUGAAAAACCAGUUCCCAUAUGAUCACCGAAGUUAAGCAACAUUGAGCCUGGUUAGUACCUAGACAACUUGGGAAUACCAGGUCCUGUAA